rnacentral:rRNA from 1 species
AUACGUAGGGGGCGAGCGUUGUCCGGAAUGAUUGGGCGUAAAGGGCGCGUAGGCGGCCCGGUAAGUCUGGAGUGAAAGUCCUGUUUUUAAGAUGGGAAUUGCUUUGGAUACUGUCGGGCUUGAGUGCAGGAGAGGUAAGUGGAAUUCCCAGUGUAGCGGUGAAAUGCGUAGAGAUUGGGAGGAACACCAGUGGCGAAGGCGACUUACUGGGCCGUAACUGACGCUGAGGCUCGAAAGCGUGGGGAGCGAACAGGAUUAGAUACCCUGGUAGUCCACGCGGUAAACGAUGAAUGCUAGGUGUUGCGGGUAUCGACCCCUGCAGUGCCGGAGUAAACACAAUAAGCAUUCCGCCUGGGGAGUACGGCCGCAAGGUUGAAACUCAAAUGAAUUGACGGGG